CCGCAGGGGUUUGUAGCGUGGCAAACGGGUGAGUAACGCGUGGGCGACCUGCCCUCGAGUGGGGGAUAACCUUCCGAAAGGAGGGCUAAUACCGCAUGAUAUGCCGCGUUUGGAUACGCGGACAUCAAAGCUGGGGAUCGCAAGACCUGGCGCUUGGGGAGGGGCCUACGUUCGAUUAGCUAGUUGGUGGGGUAACGGCUCACCAAGGCUACGAUCGAUAUCCGGCCUGAGAGGGCGGACGGACACACUGGGACUGAGACACGGCCCAGACUCCUACGGGAGGCAGCAGUAGGGAAUUGUUCGCAAUGGGCGCAAGCCUGACGACGCAACGCCGCGUGGAGGAUGAAGACCUUCGGGUCGUAAACUCCUUUCGACCGAGAUGAACAGCCACCGACCUAACACGUUGGUGGCCUGACAGUACCGAGGGAAGAAGCCCCGGCUAACUCCGUGCCAGCAGCCGCGGUAAUACGGGGGGGGCAAGCGUUGUUCGGAAUUACUGGGCGUAAAGGGUUCGUAGGUGGCCAACUAAGUCAGACGUGAAAUCCCUCAGCUCAACUGGGGAACUGCGUCUGAUACUGGUUGGCUUGAGUGCAGGAGAGGAACGCGGAAUUCCAGGUGUAGCGGUGAAAUGCGUA
rnacentral:rRNA from 1 species